rnacentral:lncRNA from 1 species
CUCAGAAGAAAUUUUACAAAAUCAAGAGAGAUUUCAAGUCCCCAGAUGAAAUAAAUAAAUGAGGAUGCCAGAUGUUCCAAAAUUCAUAAACAAGGGUAUGAAAAAGAUCCCAUUUUGGAACUAAAGAAAGAGGAAUCAGGGGGAAAGUUUUGAAGAGAUCUGUCAUGGAGGUGCAAGUACCCACCACGUGUCUACGCAAAGUGCUGACUCUCACUUGGCAGUGCCUUGUUCUUCAUACAACGUACAAAUGUUGGAAGUCACAAGGGCAAAUAGGUAGAGGAGGAGGAUAAGAAAUAAUAAGAGGGGGAGGUGUGGUCUAGGCNCAUGUGCAACUUGAU